rnacentral:rRNA from 1 species
GAUGAACGCUGGCGGCGUGCCUAAUACAUGCAAGUCGAGCGAACAGACGAGGAGCUUGCUCCUCUGACGUUAGCGGCGGACGGGUGAGUAACACGUGGAUAACCUACCUAUAAGACUGGGAUAACUUCGGGAAACCGGAGCUAAUACCGGAUAAUAUAUUGAACCGCAUGGUUCAAUAGUGAAAGACGGUUUUGCUGUCACUUAUAGAUGGAUCCGCGCCGCAUUAGCUAGUUGGUAAGGUAACGGCUUACCAAGGCAACGAUGCGUAGCCGACCUGAGAGGGGGGGGGGGGAGACGGGGGCGGGGACGCGGUCCAGAGUGCGGGGGGAGGCAGCAGUAGGGAAUCUUCCGCAAUGGGCGAAAGCCUGACGGAGCAACGCCGCGUGAGUGAUGAAGGUCUUCGGAUCGUAAAACUCUGUUAUUAGGGAAGAACAAAUGUGUAAGUAACUAUGCACGUCUUGACGGUACCUAAUCAGAAAGCCACGGCUAACUACGUG